rnacentral:rRNA from 1 species
GACGAACGCUGGCGGCGUGCCUAAUACAUGCAAGUCGAGCGGACAGAAGGGAGCUUGCUCCCGGAAGUUAGCGGCGGACGGGUGAGUAACACGUGGGCAACCUACCCUGUAGAUCGGGAUAACAUCGAGAAAUCGGUGCUAAUACCGGAUAAUCAUUUGAAGUGCAUGCUUCGAAUGUAAAAGAUGGCUCCGGCUAUCACUACGGGAUGGGCCCGCGGCGCAUUAGCUAGUUGGUAAGGUAAUGGCUUACCAAGGCAACGAUGCGUAGACGACCUGAGAGGGUGAUCGGCACACUGGGACUGAGACACGGCCCAGACUCCUGCGGGAGGCAGCAGUAGGGAAUCUUCCGCAAUGGACGAAAGUCUGACGGAGCAACGCCGCGUGAGUGAUGAAGGUUUUCGGAUCGUAAAGCUCUGUUGUUAGGGAAGAACAAGUGCCGUUUGAAUAAGGCGGCACCUUGACGGUACCUAACCAGAAAGCCACGGCUAACUACGUGCCAGCCGCCGCAGUAAUAC